rnacentral:rRNA from 1 species
AGCUGCCGCGGUAAUUCCAGCUCCAAUAGCGUAUAUUAAAGUUGUUGCAGUUAAAAAGCUCGUAGUUGAAUUUCGAGACCGGUCUACUGGUCGUGCUUUUGUACGUACUGGUUUUAUCGGUUUCUCCUUUCUGACGAACUAUAAUGCCAUUAAUUUGGUGUUAUAGGGAAUCAGGACUGUUACUUUGAAAAAAUUAGAGUGUUUAAAGCAGGCUCACGCUUGAAUACAUUAGCAUGGAAUAACGGAAUAGGACGUUUGAUUCUAUUUUGUUGGUUUCUAGGAUCGACGUAGUGAUUAAUAGGGAUAGUUGGGGGCAUUAGUAUUCAAUUGUCAGAGGUGAAAUUCUUGGAUUUAU